CGCGGCCACAAUUCACCAGCCAAUUUCAAGCAAACAAUAUAGUGCUAUAGGGAAAAGAUCUGCAUAUCAGUUGUUCUGCAAUUGGAAAUACAACUCCAAACAUCACUUGGGUAUUACUGAAAGGCCAAGCCAAGGAAAUAAAAAGCCAUGGAGUAGGUUUCGCUGACCUCGUUAUCCAGAACAUCACAAGGCAUCAAAAUGGGACGUACCAGUGCCAGGCAACCAAUAAUCCUAAUGAGUAUCCCGUGGAAACUCAAACACAAGUCACUGUACGGUACAUACCUAAUAUAACGUUCCUAAACUGGACUGUCGACGAAAAGACCAUCCUACUUUGCCAAGCAAGUGGACACCCACGCCCCUUAUUCAAGUGGUAUCAUGCUGAUGGAACGCAAGUUGAAUCUGGUGUCACAGAAAUAACAGGCGUCAGCGCAAUGGUUCUCAAAAUACCAGACAGCAACUCUGGUUUAUAUGGAAUGUACGAGUGUAACGCAACAAAUGAAGUGGGCUGGAAAGUGGGUUACCUCAACAUUACUGAAAUAAACCUUCCAGCAACAAAAAUACGCACAGAAAGAGCACUUACGGUAGCCUCGAAACCUGAUAAGAAAACAAAAGGUAGCUUUUGAGCAGCAGUUAGGGGGACUCGCGAAAGGGGUUUCGUAUGGUCUGGGUAUUACCCCCGCCAAGUACCACCGGUCCCACGCGGGUAUUCCCCGCAUUGCCCCUAACUGCUGCUGUGUUUGUAAGAUCUAUGACAUAUAUAUGCACGAAUGUAAAGAAUUUGCUAAUGAUUUUUGUAAAGACAAUCGGGGUCGUGCUUAAUAUUCUUUUUUUAAAAUGACAGCAACCAAGGGAUUUAGUAAAAGGUAGUAAAGUUAAUAAAAAAAU